rnacentral:rRNA from 1 species
AGCGAACGCUGGCGGCAGGCUUAACACGUGCAGGUCGAACGCCCCGCAAGGGGAGUGGCAGACGGGUGAGUAACACGUGGGAACGUACCCUUUGGUUCGGAAUAACUUGGGGAAACUCAAGCUAAUACCGGAUAAGCCCUUAUGGGGAAAGGUUUACUGCCGAAGGAUCGGCCCGCGUCUGAUUAGCUAGUUGGUGAGGUAAUGGCUCACCAAGGCGACGAUCAGUAGCUGGUCUGAGAGGAUGAUCAGCCACACUGGGACUGAGACACGGCCCAGACUCCUACGGGAGGCAGCAGUGGGGAAUAUUGGACAAUGGGGGCAACCCUGAUCCAGCCAUGCCGCGUGAGUGAUGAAGGCCUUAGGGUUGUAAAGCUCUUUUACCCGGGACGAUAAUGACUGUACCGGGAGAAUAAGCCCCGGCUAACUUCGUGCCAGCCGCCGCAGUAA